GUGGGGAAUAUUGCACAAUGGGGGAGACCCUGAUGCAGCCAUGCCGCGUGUGUGAAGAAGGCCUUCGGGUUGUAAAGCACUUUCAGCGAGGAGGAAAGGUUGGUAGCUAAUAACUGCCAGCUGUGGCGUUACUCGCAGAAGAAGCACCGGCUAACUCCGUGCCAGCAGCCGCGGUAAUACGGAGGGUGCAAGCGUUGUCCGGAUUUACUGGGCGUAAAGCGCACGCAGGCGGUUAGAUAAGUCAGAUGUGAAAGCCCCGGGCUCAACCUGGGAACUGCAUUUGAAACUGUCUGACUAGAGUCUUGUAGAGGGGGGUAGAAUUCCAGGUGUAGCGGUGAAAUGCGUAGAGAUCUGGAGGAAUACCGGUGGCGAAGGCGGCCCCCUGGACAAAGACUGACGCUCAGGUGCGAAAGCGUGGGGAGCAAACAGGAUUAGAUACCCCGGUAGUCC
rnacentral:rRNA from 1 species